UACAGGGGGCUCGAGCGUUAGUCGGAAUCACUGGGCUUAAAGGGUGCGUAGGCGGCUCGCCAAGUGCUUUGUGAAAUCCCACAGCUCAACUGUGGAACAGCAGGGCAAACUGGCGAGCUUGAAGCAGGUAGGGGCUGGAAGAACAGUUGGUGGAGCGGUGAAAUGCGUAGAUAUCAACUGGAAUGCCGAUGGGGAAGCCGUCCAGCUGGGCCUGUCUUGACGCUGAGGCACGAAAGCGUGGGGAGCAAACAGG
rnacentral:rRNA from 1 species